CCUGGGCUACACACGUGCUACAAUGGGCAGUACAACGAGAAGCGAACCCGCGAGGGUAAGCGGAUCUCUUAAAGCUGUUCUCAGUUCGGACUGCAGGCUGCAACUCGCCUGCACGAAGCUGGAAUCGCUAGUAAUCGCGGAUCAGCACGCCGCGGUGAAUACGUUCCCGGGCCUUGUACACACCGCCCGUCACACCA
rnacentral:rRNA from 1 species